rnacentral:rRNA from 1 species
CCCUGCCUUUUGUACACACCGCCCGUCGUUACUACCGAUUGAAUGGCUUAGUGAGGACUCGGGAUUGGGAGUUGGACCGGCAACGGAACCAGCUCUCGAAAACCUGUUCAAACUUGGUCAUUUAGAGGAAGUAC